CAUACACCCAGCGUAUGAAAUAAGGUAUAGUAUGUGGAUACAGAACAGAAUCAUGUGUACUGUGUGUUACUCUGGCUCACACUAGUCUGGCAGGACCUUCCAGCUGUAUGGCGCACUACAGACUGGAACUGAGGCAUUUUGGGCCUGCUGGUCUGUUAGUAAUUUAGAUCUGUAUGUAGAGUAUAAUAUGUUUCAUAUAGUUAUUAGAAUGAGGGUCUCUUGGGCCUGCUGGUCUGCUAUGCAUUUAGGAGGUGUGUGCACAACUUCUAAAUGAGUUUGUGAGAGGUGUGUGUAGGGGUGUACAACUUCUAAAUGAGUUUGUGAGAGGUGUGUGUAGGGGUGUACAACUUCUAACUGAGUUUGUGAGAGGUGUGUGUAGGGGUGUACAACUUCUAAAUGAGUUUGUGAGAGGUGUGUGUAGGGGUGUACAACUUCUAAAUGAGUUUGUGAGAGGUGUGUGUAGGGGUGUACAACUUCUAAAUGAGUUUGUGAGAGGUGUGUGUAGGGGUGUACAACUUCUAAAUGAGUUCGUGAGAGGUGUGUGUAGGGGUGUACAACUUCUAAAUGAGUUUGUGAGAGGUGUGUGUAGGGGUGUACAACUUCUAAAUGAGUUUGUGAGAGGUGUGUGUAGGGGUGUACAACUUCUAAAUGAGUUUGUGAGAGGUGUGUGUAGGGGUGUACAACUUCUAAAUGAGUUUGUGAGAGGUGUGUGUAGGGGUGUACAACUUCUAAAUGAGUUUGUGAGAGGUGUGUGCAUCUCGGUACUCUUGUCUGGAAGGCGUUUUAGAAAUAUGGAUAACAGUACAUUCACUUGAAUUGAGUUUGUGAAAUGUGUAUGUAUUGAUUUGUGUGUGAGUGUAUGCUUGUGUGUGUGUGUGUGUGUGUAUGUAUGUGUGUGUGUGUGCGCGCGCGCGCGUGUGUGCUUGUCUGUGUGUGUGCUUGUGUCUGUGAGUGUGUGUGUGUCGGCUCUAAUUGAGUUAGCAGGGUUCAGUGUGACACGGAUCUGAAAGGAACAUGGAAGCUGUAUGUCUUCUGACAUCACAGACCAGGAGAUAACAUCAGGAACACACAGCAGAUAACAUCACCCAUCCAUCUCCCUUUCUCUCUUAGCAUAACUCCCUCUCCCCCUCUUUUGCUCUGCGUAUGCUUGCUCUCUCUUACCAAAUCUUUCUCUCUUUCUGUUUCUCUCUUCAUCUCUAUCUUACUUUCUCCAUAUCUCACUCUCUCUUUCUCUUACUUUCCCCAGUCUCUGUCUGGAAAGGGUCUGA